UGUUGUAAUCCUCUCACCCUUAAAAUGAAAAAGUCCUGGAGGGUUGUCCUUCUUGGCAGCUUUGGAGCCUGAAUCCAGGCACAGCCAGAAUUGCAAGAACGAGGAUUUCAGAGAUCAGAAAGAGCAGAGGAAACCAACCACCGUGCUGCUGCAAACUCCUGGGAGCUGCAAAAUGAAAAAGAAGAGCGUGCAGGGCGCAUUCAGCUUCCCUGAGUUAAUGGAUUAUUGAUUAAUGUUCGGAAAAUCACACAAAGAGGUUUGCUGUGUUGUCCAUGAUGUGAACUUCUUUUGCUCCUUCUCAGUGGAUGCUGUAAGAGCAUUUGGAACAGAUUCCUUGAGCACCCAAGAAGAGUCACCAGUGAUGUUUAUCCAUUCUCCAGAUGAAGAUGAAGCAGGAGGCAAUUACAGCCAGUACUUUUUUAGAGCUCUUAAACACACCCAACAGCUAUUUGGUGCUUCCUUUUAGAGGAAAAGAAAGCAGGGCUGGCUCAGUUUCUCCCACUAGCAUGAUCCAGAGGAGCUCUUCCUUUAGACACGUAAGCAACAACCUCCAGUCCAUGGCCAACUCACUUUCUACUCAACUUUGGAGAUAGAUAUGAAAAUGUAUAAAUCCAGCAUACUUAACUUUGGUAAUAAAAAUUAAACAAAACAGUUUACUUUUGUAAGAAUAAAGAAAAGUCCACACC
rnacentral:lncRNA from 1 species